rnacentral:rRNA from 1 species
CCUAAGGUAUGCAAGUCGAAUGCCGAUUUAUCGGCAUGGCAGACGGCUGAGUAACACAUGGGAAUCUACCUCAAACUCGAGAAUAGCCCAUCGAAAGGUGGUGUAAUACUCGAUAGUUCCGUUUACGGUAAAGCUCCGGCGGUUUGAGAUGAGCCCAUGUCCUAUCAGGUUGUUGGUGGGGUAAUUGCCUACCAAGCCUAUGACGGGUAGCUGGUUUGAGAGGAUGAUCAGCCAGACUGGGACUGCGAUACGGCCCAGACUCCUACGGGAGGCAGCAACUAGGAAUCAUGCGCAAUGGACGAAAGUCUGACGCUGCGACGUCGCGUGAGGGAUGAAGGUCUUAGGAUCGUAAACCUCUUUUAUCUGGGAACAAGUUCUGAGUGUACCAGAUGAAUAAGUGCCUGCCAACCACGUGCCAGAAGCAUCGGUAAUGCGUGGGGCACGAGCGUUAUCCGGAUUUACUGGGCGUAAAGAGAUGCGUAGGCGCCUUUUUAAGUCACUUGUAAAAUCUCCCCGCUCAACGGGGAAACUGCAAGUGAUACUGAAUUGGUUGAGUCAAGUAGAGGAGAGGGGAAUUCCUGGUGGAGCGGUUAAAUGCGUUGAUAUCAGGAGGAAUACCAAGUGCGAAGGCACCUCUCUGGACUUGUACUGACGCUAAGGCUCGAAAGUGUGGGGAGCAAAACGGAUUAGAUACCCGUGUAGUCCACACUGUAAACGAUCCCUGCUAGAUGUU